rnacentral:lncRNA from 1 species
AUGGCGUUGGGCGGCAAUGGCAGCUCGCUCCUUGGGCCGCCUCGCAGUCACGGAAUCACAGCGGACCACGAGCAGCACUCGUUGAAUCCACUGCGGGGCUUUGAGGACCAGGGACAGCGCCGCAGAAGGCAAGAGCAGCGCGGCCGGCGGUGGGCUUUCAGGACCGGGGACAGCGCGAAGAGAAGGCAAGACCAGGGACAGCGCGCAGAGAAGCAAUGCCUGAGCCAUCAGAGGGCUUUCAGGACCAGGGGCAGCACCCACACAGAAAGACAAGACCCGUGCCGUCAGUCCUGCUGUAGGGACCGUGGACAGCGCCCUCCAAAGAUCCGCACUGUCAGCUUGGCUUUCAGGACCUGGGGUCAGCGCCCACAGAAGACAAAAGCCGGCACUGUCAGCGUCGGGCCCCAUCAGCCUGGGAAGCGAGCCAGGCAGAGAGAAGUGCGCCUUCGCUGAGCGUGACAGCCCCACCACGGUGCGCGGUGAGCCCAGCCCUGACCGCUGACCCAGCCUGGUCCUUGGGGUCAGAGCACAGGAAGGAGAGUCCAGGCUGUCUCCGGAAAUGGGAACCUGCAGCCAACAGCGACGCGGAGCUUUCUCUCUUCAUCUACGGGCAGGUAGAGCUCGGGCUGCCUUCUUAAAGCAGCUUCUGAAGCAUAGGAGGCUGCGGGAGACCAGGGCUGGGAAACGGAUGUCAUGUCCCGCUCACCCGCUGCUCACUGCCCACAGGCACCGUGCCUCUUCCCCCAAGACCCGGCGCAGAGGGAAUGCCCUCCUGACUGCCAGAGGCGCCCAGGUGGCCCAUGCGGCUCUUGGAGAUCUGGGUCCUCAUCUCUUUCCCAAAAGGAUCACAGGUCUCCCUGGCGUCGGUCAGCCAAGCCGUGAGGUGUGUGGUGCACCCUAAGCCUGCUCUCAACCCUGGCAGCAGCAAUGAAGGUGGGGCUCCUCCAGCUAUGCCCAGGUUUGUGCUUUCCCGAGAAGGGCCUGGAGGAUCAGUGGAGGCCACAGACCCCUCGAUCACUGGGCGAGGAUACAGAUCCGCACCAGUAAGGGGCGGAGUGUGCAGGGCUAAGGAUGCAGCACCCUCCCGCCGUCAGUGUGUGACAAUCAGGGAGCGUGGGCAUCUGCGGACAUCACCAGAGCUGCCGUGUGCAGCACUCAUGAUUGAGAACUGGGUGACCCCCAAAGCCUCGUGCUCACGCAUGGCAAUUUUGGAGGGUGGUUGGGUUAUGGGAGCUCGUAGCUGACUCGCUGUUAAAAGCGGCAGUCUCUGGGGUGAGGCCUUGAAGUGUUUUUCUCCCUCCCCAGCUCCUGCCUUCACCUCCACUUCUGUCCACCGUGUCCUGAGUAACUCUCCUGCACCUGGCCCGUCUGCCACUCUGUCCUGCCUUGGGGCCUCUGGCUAGGCACUGAGCCGUGAGCCAAGGGAAACCACUCCUCCUUUAUGCUGUGGUAUCGGGUGUUUUGUCCCAGCUGUGAGGAGAGAGACGGCUGCGACAGGGCUUUGCUCUGCAGGGCUACUGACUGCAGCGAUUGACUCAGCCUCCAAGAAAAUGCCUCGGACCCACCCAGCCCUCAUGGCUGGUCUUUCUGGCGUGACCACUCCACCCUCAGGCCAGCAGACGUGCCCUAAGAACUGGUGUGGUCAACCACGACAAGGACAGGUCCACCAGGUGUGACACAGAUGGGCUCCAAGAGCCACGGGCAAGGCCAGUCCUUCCCUUUCACCUGUCCCACGAGGUCCUCUCAUUCCCUUGGGGAGUCCUUGCCACUGACCACAUCCAUGGUCGCACCGUGAGACCCGCGUAGAAAGCAGCAGAACCAGGAGCGGACUCAGCGUCCUGCUCUCUUGCUGUGACACAGGCGUCCCUGAAGGCCUGCUGGAGCUGCGGGAGGGGCGGUGGUUGCAGAGGCACUGCCCUGCCCGCCUGCUCCCCUCGAGCUCAGUCUCUGGAUGGAUGAUACAGCCGCGCGGAGCGUCUCUGUUGCCCAGAACAUGGUUGGCAGCUGAGCAUGAGGAAGAACGGUCACUGCACAGGUAAAAAACCUGGCCUGCUCCUCCUUGGCUGCUACCUCUGCUGCUCCAACCUCACCGCACCCAGAGCAGCUGUAGUGCCCUGCCCUAUUCCAGAGGACCUGCCCCAUGUGGCCGCCAUGAGCAGGGGACCCAGCACGACUCAGGCCAGCCUCACAGGCGGCGUGAUCACUGUCACCGUGGCCGCCAUCAGUUUGUGACUGCACAGUCCUAGCACACAGUGUGGCCAGGCACACCGUGACUUUGCAACACAGAGCCCAUCCUCAUUCUUUUUCAUGGAUGGGGAAGCUGGGGCAGAGGGCCAUAAUCCGAAGCACGGUCUUGGUGUGAGGGAGCAGAGGUGCUAAGGUGCAACCUAGCGUGUUCAGCAUUAAAGCUGGUGCUCCAGGCUUCUCUGCGGUCAUCAAGAAAAUGUGACUUAAAUGCGUAAGUGUUCAUGUUUCUUUCAGCAAAGCCCAGAAGGCAGGCAGGGCCGUCACAGUGCUGGGGCUGUAACCAAGGACCCAGGCUCUUAUUAUUCUGUUCAGUACAACUAUAACAAGAGCUUCCAUACUUCUUUGCCUCAUGGUCCAAGCUGGCUGCUGGAGGACAAGCCAUCACCCCUGCUUUACAGGUAAAACGAUAUGGUGUGCCCUGCUCUUCACAGAGUGGUGGUGAAAGCAUAGUAUUUCGUGCCAGCCAGGUCAGUCUUAGCUUUGUCACCUCCUAGCUAUGUGAAUCAAGUACACUAUGCCAUUUUGCUUUACUACACUUUAGUUUCUUUAUCUGCAAAAUAAUAAUCGUGACCAUGCCUACCAGGUGGGGCCGCUGUGAGUGCCUGGCACACAGUGCGUGCCCAGUAGAUGCGGGAGGAGGGUGAUCAUGUGCUGCUGCAGCUGGCAGUGAUGACCAGGACGGCGAUGAUGGUUUGGUGGCUGUGACGGUAGGGUACGAUGCUGACGGUAGGGUCGCAGGUGCUCUCCCAUUGCGGGGAUACAAUGCCUGACACAGUUUGAAGGAGGAGAGGUUUAAACCUGGCUCACGGUUUUGGCAUUUCAGUUCAGUGUGCUGGCUUAAGGUAGGAGGGCAGAGUGGGAGGGUCUGGGGGCGGAGAGCUGCUCACCGUGUGAACAGGAAGCAGAGAGGGAAGGGAGGGGCUGUCCCGGCCAUGUCCCACCCACCUCUUCCUCAAGCCACGCCCAGAUCCGCCCCUUCCCCCAGGCCACGCCCCAUCUCUUCCCCCAGGCUCCGCCUCCUGACCGGCAGUCCCGUAGGAACUCAUGUUGGAUCAACUCUCGCCUCGCGGGUUAGAACAGCGCUCCAGGACCCGGUCACCUUCCCACAGCGCCACCCGGGCAUACGAGGCUUUGGAGGCCGACUGUGGCUCUAACUGCUCACAGUGCCUGGGGUGAUAACGGAGAAGGUAUUUAAGCCCAGAGUCACCUCCUUCCGUGUCUUUGUGAUUAAUGAGAGACAGGAUAACUCGCUGCAUCUGUACGGUUUGAAGAAAAUAAACAAAUGUCCAUUUAUCAUUAUCUCAUUAUGAUCAGGUUAUCUAAUUGUCCUUGAAGACAGUGCUUGUUUAGGAAAUGAAUGGGAGCUCUCUUAGAUACCCUAACAGUUUCGUGCCUGCAAGGUGAGUCUCUGGCUUGGCGCAUAAGGUUUUUGGAAAUUUUUUUAUGCUAACAGCAUCUAUGCAGGUAGUGAAACAAUUUAACCUGUCAAUUUGAAAAGCGAGUGUGGAGGCAGGAAGAUGUCAGCUGUGAAAGCCAAACGUCACACAUCCGGGGCUCCAUGAGAACCUUUGGCGGGCAGCGCCUCAGGGCUUUUCCGGGGCACACGUGGGCACAGCAAGCCAGUCAGGAUGGCUUUCCCCCGU